rnacentral:rRNA from 1 species
GAUGAACGCUGGCGGCGUGCCUAAUACAUGCAAGUCGAACGCUGGAGAUCUAGCUUGCUAGAUCGAAGGGGUGGCGAACGGGUGAGUAAUACAUAAGCAACCUACCCACGAAGACUGGGAUAAUCUCUGGAAACGGGGACUAAUACCGGAUAGGUAAUCGGAAGGCAUCUUCUGGUUAUUAAAGGUUAAACACACUGGUGGAUGGGCUUAUGGCGCAUUAGUUAGUUGGUGAGGUAACGGCCCACCAAGACGAUGAUGCGUAGCCGGCCUGAGAGGGUGAACGGCCACAUUGGGACUGAGACACGGCCCAGACGCCUACGGGAGGCAGCAGUAGGGAAUUUUCGGCAAUGGGGGCAACCCUGACCGAGCAACGCCGCGUGAGUGAAGACGGCCUUCGGGUUGUAAAGCUCUGUUGUAAGGGAAGAACGGUAGAUAGAGAAUAUCUAAGUGACGGUACCUUACCAGAAAGCCACGGCUAACUACGUG